AUCAUCAUCUUGUGCAAAGACAAAAGCACAGGCCCACAUGGUCUCUGGCAGCAGCCUGGGAAGUAUCUUUCAUCUUUGAGAAACCUUGACUCAGAUAAAAUUAUGUCCUUGGUUUUGAUGGAGAGACGAAUUUCAGGAUGAGCCAGUAUAAACGAGAGGUGGUGUUUACUAAAAGACAUGUUUUUGUAACGUCAAUUUUAAAAGGCAGAUCAUGAACGAGUGAAAUUGAAACACACCUCAAAGGUCUGGUAUGGCUGGUAAAGUGUGUGGCAUAUCUCAUUGAGAGCUUUUGAAGCUUUUUACUGUUUUUAAGGAUCUAUUUCCUCCUAUUUUAUUUCUUCUUUUCCACAAUUGAGUUUAUAGACUCUGGAACUACCAUGAAUGGGAUUAUAACCCAACAAGACAAAAACAGAGUUUGAUAAGGUAAAACUGGAAUUGCCCAACAUGGUCAGGACUUAGCCUUUUCUAAACACAAGGAUGAUUCUAGUGAGACUACUAGAAGAUGGCAGAGUGACAUCUGGGUAGGCAGAAAUGUCUUAAAUAAAUAUAAAUUGUGCUAGAGUUUUUUGUUUGUUUGUUUUUUGGUUUUGGUUUUUUGAGACAGGGUUUCUCUGUGUAGCCCUGGCUGUCCUGGAACUCACUCUGUGGACCAAGCUGGCCUCAAACUCAGAAAUCCGCCUGCCUCUGCCUCCUGAGUUCUGGGAUUAAAGGCUUACGCCACCAUGCCCGACUGUGCUAGAGUUCUUGUUUCCAAGCUGGAGAGAGAAAGACCUCAACUAGACUCUGGGGUUGAACCGAACUGGCGAUGCACUGUCUGGAUUGGAUGCAUGUCUUCGUCAUUCUGGAUCCACAUCCUUCAAAUGUUGCCCACCGUGUGAUAGAGAGAAACACACCAAGGAAUUUCUGGUGGUAUUCCACUUCCAAGGAUCCUCGAGGUUUCUGCUGGAUGGAGCCACUGCUGCUGACUUUGGUGUUUGCUAUUGGACUGGACUGCUGAUAUCCUGACAACAAAGAUUGGAACUACCCCUAAAAACUACUUCUAAGACUGAAAGGUAUGAAGAUCUGUGGCAAGAGGCAUGUCAGAGAAUAAGCCGAAGAAUUCUGUUAUUUUAUAGCAUUAGAUCUUCUUUCCUGUCAAAUCUGUCACUUGUGCCCUGACUCUGGCUGGGAUGAAGAGAACAAGAUGGAAAUAAAGAUAUGGAAUGCAGUGUACACUAUGUGUUUCUGCACUAACUUCCUGAAUGACUUCCUGGAUUGUGUUGCUGGAGAUGGCUCUCUGUGGACUCCUGUAUCAAUGUUUCCCUGGCAUGGGGGCAGAGCAGUCUCAGUGGUAUGUUUCUAGCUGCUGUCCCAGCCUAAAGGAUUUAAUUAUGCGUGAAGAGUUGAAACUGGAUUAUUUCUUGUUUCUUGAAUGUUGUAUGUUCCAGGCUUUGAGCCUUAGCCUACCUGAAACUCUUUCUUGCUAUCUACAGACAACCUUAUGUUUCUGGGGUCAUCUCAAAUGCUGUUCUUUCUAUAAAAUAUUUGUCCUAGAAGUGAUCCUUAGUUGAUUUUCUUACAUCACUAGCUUCUUUUAUCCACCAUUGUAGUUAUUUGUGUCCUUAUUUCAUUUUCAUAUGGAAACUAUAAACUCUGAAGAAAGGGAGAAGUGUAACAAAUUUAUGUGCUGAUUAUUUAUUCACUUAAAAAGCAUUGGUUUUCCUUAAGCUAUGGAUGAGAAUUGAGUUACUAGGGCAUUCAGCAAAUAUGAGGUGGAUUCUAUUAAAUGCUGUUAUAACAUA
rnacentral:lncRNA from 1 species